UUCUGGAUUUUUCCCAGUUUUUCCCCAACUGUGGAAAUCUGGAUUUCUCCCAGUUUUCCCCAAUCUGGAAUUCUGGAUUUUUCCCAGUUUUUCCCCAACUGUGGAAAUCUGGAUUUCUCCCAUUUUAUCCAAACUGAAAUUCUGGAUUUCUCCCAGUUUCCCCCAGCUGUGGAAAUCUGAAUUUCUCUCAAUUUUCCCCAAACUGUGGAUUUCUGGAUUUCUCCCAGUUUCCCCCAGAUCCUGCUGUGAUCCAGCUGGGAUUUGGCUUUUCCAUCAGGAUUUCAUGGAUCUGGCCCCUUGCUGGUGCUACUGCCCCCCCCAGGCCCCCCAAAAUCCUGGGGGAACCCCAAAGUGGCUUCGGGACUUUUAAUGUCAUUUUGAUUUCCUUCUUUAUUUUUUAUUCCCUUUUUUUUCUAUUUCUUUUUUAUUCCCAUAAUUUUAAAUUUUUUUUCUUCGCUUUCAAAUUUUUUAUUUCUUUUUUAAUUUCAUUUUUAUUGCCUUUCUGUUUUUAUUGCUUUUUUAUUUCUUUAUUUAAUUUUUACUUGUGCUUCUUUUUUAAUUCCGUUUCUUUCCCUUUUUAUUACCUUUCAAUUUCCUUAAAUUUUUUCUUAUUCUUUCCUUUUUCCUGUUCCAUUUUAAAUUUCAUUUUUCAGAUUUUAAUUUUCCUUUUAAUCCCACAUUUAAUGCCCCUGAGUGAAUCCAAAGCUUCUCCCCACUAUUACUCAUUUUCCUGCUUUUCUGCGGUUUCCUGGACGAUGCUGUAUUUAAAGAGAAUAUUUAAGUGGAAAAAUAAAAAGUGGUUAAACUUGA